CUACAAUGAUGGUUAAUAUUUUUCGUCAACAGCAGUUCACCUAGUGAGUGUUGAUAACUCUGGGUCUGAGUAA
ensembl:snoRNA